rnacentral:rRNA from 1 species
UAAGCAAUGGCCGGCCUCUUAGGAUUUGUUGAACCUUCUUCGCGUAUGAGAAACCCACGGUAAGUGGACGGUAAUAGCGCCCAGUAAUUGAUGGUGCCGUAAGAAGGAGCUUCGGCUAAGUCCGUUGCCAGGCAGGCCGCCGGUAAUACAGAAGGAAGCUGACGUGAUCCGUGGUUUACGAGGACAUAAAAGAGUUUGUAGCCGGCCGAAUUAUUCAAGUGAGAAAAUCCGCUUCGCUCAACGGAGCAAUGCUUUUGAUAGCUGUUGGGUUUGAUAGCAGGAAGGUGAAAAUGAAAUUUCCGGGUUAAGCGUGGAAGGCGUAGAUAUCGGAGAAGAACACCAGUGGCGAAGCGGUUGGCUGGGCGGGCAGCUGACGGUGAAAAAGGAAAGGCAGGGAGCGAACCGGAGUUAGAUACCCCGGUAGUCCUGGCUGUAAACGGUGCAUAUUAGGUGCAAGUGAUUUCGUUUUCAUGUGUGCGGACGCUAACGCAUUAAAUAUGCCGCCUGGGAACUACGGCCGCAAGGUUGAAACUCAAAGAAAUUGACGGGGGUCCGCACAAGUGGUGGAGCAUGUGGUUUAAUUCGACGCAACGGGAAGAACCUUGCCUAGGCUUGACAGGCAUGUGCAAUCUCUAUGAAAGUAGAGCCCCCUGCCCGAAAGGGUAGGCACAUGCACAGGUGUUGCAUGGCUGUCGUCAGCUCGUGCCGUGAGGUGUUGGGUUAAGUCCUCUAACGAGCGCAACCCCUAUUGCUAGUUGCCAGCGGGUAAUGCCGGGAACUCUAGCGAGACUGCCUGGGAUAACCAGGAGGAAGGCGGGGACGACGUCAAGUCAUCAUGGCCCUUAUGUCUAGGGUUACACACGUGCUACAAUGGCAGGUACAGCGGGUUGCAAGACCGUGAGGUGGAGCUAAUCCCUAAAAACCUGUCCCAGUUCGGAUUGGAGUCUGCAACUCGACUCCAUGAAGCCGGAAUCACUAGUAAUCGUGGAUCAGCUACGCCACGGUGAAUACGUUCCCGGGCCUUGUACACACCGCCCGUCACGCCACGAAAGUUGUUUGUACCAGAAGACGCCGAUCCAACCGCAAGGAGGUAGGGGCCAAGGUAUGAGCGAUGAUUGGGGCGAAGUCGUAACAAGGUAACC